rnacentral:rRNA from 1 species
GAUUAACGCUAGCGGCAGACCUAAUACAUGCAAGUCGAACGGCAGCGGGUCCAGCAAUGGAUGCCGGCGAGUGGCGCACGGGUGCGUAACACGUAUGCAAUCUACCCUUAACUGGGGGAUAGCCCCGAGAAAUCGGGAUUAAUACCCCAUAAUAUUAUGAAGUGGCAUCAUUUUAUAAUUAAAGUUCCGACGGUUUUGGAUGAGCAUGCGCGACAUUAGCUAGUUGGCGAGGUAACGGCUCACCAAGGCUGCGAUGUCUAGGGGUUCUGAGAGGAUUCACCCCCACACUGGUACUGAGACACGGACCAGACUCCUACGGGAGGCAGCAGUAAGGAAUAUUGGUCAAUGGACGCAAGUCUGAACCAGCCAUGCCGCGUGAAGGAAGACGGCCCUACGGGUUGUAAACUUCUUUUGUACGGGAAAAACCACCGGUCGUGAACCGGUGCUGAUGGUACCGUAAGAAUAAGCAUCGGCUAACUCCGUGCCAGCAGCCGCGGUAAACACGAG